rnacentral:rRNA from 1 species
AACGCGCUCAGCAAUGAGCGAGUGGCGGACGGGUGAGUAACACGUGGGAACCUACCCUGAGGUGAGGGAUACCGGCGAGAAAUCGCCGACAAGACCGCAUAGACUUCUCUCGGGAAGCAAAGCCGCAAGGCGCCACGGGAUGGGCCCGCGGCCGAUUAGCUAGCUGGUGAGGUAAGAGCUCACCAGGGCAUCGAUCGGUAGCUGGUCUGAGAGGACGAUCAGCCACACUGGGAUUGAGAACGGCCCAGACUCCUACGGGGGGCAGCAGUGAGGAAUUUUCCGCAAUGGGGGAAACCCUGACGGAGCAACGCCGCGUGCAGGAAGGCGGCCUUCGGG